rnacentral:RNase_P_RNA from 2 species
GAGAGUAAGAGUGGUAGUUGCAAACUAAAUUUGUCCUGUGAGUUUAGUUUGAGGAAAGUCCGGACUCCCGAAAGAUCAAACUUGCUGGGUAACGCCCAGUGCGCGUGAGCGUGAGGAUAGUGCCACAGAAAAAUACCGCCUUAAUUAUUUUAAGGUAAGGGUGCAAAGGUGUCGGUAAGAGCGCACCAGCAGUAUCGAGAGGUACUGGCUCGGUAAACCCCGGUGGGGAGCAAGGUCGGAGGAAUUAUGGUUGAUCUUUUCCCGAUUCCGUCUUCGGUGUACCGCUUGAGGUGAUUAGUAAUAUUCAUCCUAGAUAGAUAACUACCCCUUUAAUUCAAUGAAUUUUGAGGAACAGAACCCGGCUUACUCCUUACUCUCUUUU